rnacentral:rRNA from 1 species
UACGUAGGGGGCAAGCGUUGUCCGGAAUUAUUGGGCGUAAAGAGCUCGUAGGCGGUUUGUCGCGUCUGCUGUGAAAUCCCGAGGCUCAACCUCGGGUCUGCAGUGGGUACGGGCAGACUAGAGUGCGGUAGGGGAGAUUGGAACUCCUGGUGUAGCGGUGGAAUGCGCAGAUAUCAGGAAGAACACCGAUGGCGAAGGCAGAUCUCUGGGCCGUAACUGACGCUGAGGAGCGAAAGCAUGGGGAGCGAACAGG